UGGAUGGGUGGAUGGAUGGAUGGAUGGAUGGAUGGAUGGAAGAGAGAGAAAGAUACAUAGCAACCUGGGUAUAUGUUCAGAUAAGUGGAUGGACAGAUGGAUGGAUGGAUGGACAGAUGGAAGGAUGCAUGGAUGGAAGAAAGAAGGAUGUAUAGCAACCUGGGUAUAUGUUCAGAUAAGUGAAUGCAGAGAUGGAUGGAUGGAUGGAUGGAAGGAAGAGAGAAGAAUGGAUAGUACCCUUGGCAUAUGUUCAGAUAAGUGGAUGAACAGAUGGACAGAUGGAUGGAUGGAUGGAUGGAUGCAUGGAAGAGAGAAGAAUGGAUAGUAAGCUGGGUAUAUGUUCAGAUAAGUGGAUGGACAGACAGAUGAACAGAUGGAUGGAUGGUGGAUGGGUUAGUGAGAAGGUAGGUGGCCAUACACACAAAUGACAACUUUGAGAGCACAUGUUUGACUUAAAUCUUAGGGUCAUCACGUUCCCAGGAGACAAGCAGGUGGUGCGUUACUCCUCACCUUCUGUUCCCAGCAGCCCAAACUUCCUGUUUCCACCACUUUCCCUAAUCAAUUCAGACACUCAGGGAAUGAGGGGGUCAAAAUCUGAGUCAGCAGGAGGUCAGCCAACCUGGCCAGCGGUAUGGAUGCCCGAGGCAGCCCACUUGUGGGUGGUGACUUGAACCUACACAGGCCAUGGGGUAGGAAUUUGGGCAGUUACGUGGAUAAUUGGGAUAAAAACAACUCCACUCAAGAACCCGGAGGACUCGGGCCUCAUGGGCUCUGGUGGGACAUGAUCCUCAGUUCACUCCCCUCCCCAUCCCUGUGCAGGUCCUGACCCAGGGAGCCCCUCCCAUGCAGAGGGCAACGCUGAGCCGGCCCUGGGUACAGAUAGGUCUAAUCAUCCCUGUCUUCCCCCCCAGGGGAACCACAGCCCAUCUUUCCUCCAACACAAACCAACCACAUCCCUGGAUGGAACUCAGACAAACCACUUUCUAUUGACUUCAAUUUGCAUUUUAAAUAGGCUAAAUGGCUCUGGAAAGAAAGCAGAAGUUCAUUAGUGUUGUGAAAUGCCAUUUCCAUCAACUCCUUGCAUGGGAAUCCUAAUUACAGCUCCCUGGGGAGCAGUGGCAGGACCCAGGCCCACCGAGCCAGCAGCUGGAGCAGAAGUGAGCGGAGAGCAGCCUUGGCUUCCUGGGCCCUGGCUGGGAGAGCGGGGCUGCCUGGGAAAAGGAGCCCCCUCCUCCAACUCAGAGGCCCCUGGACCCUGACCUUGGCCGGCCAGCGGCCUGACCAGCAGCCGUGUCAGCAGCAUUGCCCCGGGAGCAGGGGCUCUCAGUCCUGGUGCGCUCUGGAACCCAAGGAGCCUGAGACAAUCUUGUGCCUGGAGACCCCCCCACCAAGAGAUGCAGACAACACAUCAGGAAAGGAUCAUGUUUUCAACAGAUGAGGCUGUAGCCAUUGCAGGUCCGCAAGCAAAACAGUGAGCUCCACCUACACCUCCCGCCUCACACAAAAACUACCUCAGCAUGUAUCGGGGACCUACGUGUAAAACGUAAAAUUAUAAACAUUUUAGAAGCAACAUUGGAGAAAGCUUUGUGACUUUGGGUUAGGCAAUGACAAAAGCACAAUUCUUAAAAAAAAAAUCUAUAAACUUGACUUCAUCAAAAUUAAACCCUUUUGCUCUGCAGAAGACAGAGUUUAGAGAAUGAUCAGACCAGCCACCGGCUGGCAAGGAAUAUUUGCAAUUCAUAUAUCUGACCAAAGUCCUGUAUCUGGAAUAUGUAAAUAACUCUGAAAGCUCAACCGUAACAAAGCAAAGGACACAAUAUUUUUUAAAUGAGGAAAAAUGUACACAGACAUUUUCCCAAAUAAAAUAUACGAGUGACAGAUAAGCCCAUAAAACAAUGGACAAUGUCGAGAAUUAUUAAGAAAAUGCAAAUUAAAGUCAUGAUGAGGUCACAGCACACACCUAUUGGGAUGCGAAAAUUAACAAAAAAAGGAAAGCAAAGAAAGAAGGAAAUGACAGCAGGUGCUGCUGAGGCUGCCGAGCAAGCUGCGCUCACAGUGGACGGUGCAGCCACUUCAUUAUGGAAACAGGGUGGCUGCUGCUCCAGCUAAACACUCCACACACUCAGCAUGUGAGUCCGCAGCCCCACCCCAGGGACCCACUCACGUGGAGUGAAAACCUACCUCCACACAAAAAAAUGUAGGUUAAAGUUCCUAGUGGCUUUAUUUGUAAUUGCAAAAACCGGAAACAACGCAAACACCCCCAUCAGUGAGCACAGAACGAGCCGCCAUGCAUAGGUGCAGUGGACGCCGCUCAGCAGGGAGACGGGCAGGGCAGGCCGUGGGUGCGCACAGCCGCCCGGGCGACUCUCCAUGACCCGCGCUGAGGGCCGG
rnacentral:lncRNA from 1 species